GGGAUAACUAUUGGAAACGAUAGCUAAUACCGCAUAACAAUGGAUGACCCAUGUCAUUUAUUUGAAAGGGGCAAAUGCUCCACUACAAGAUGGACCUGCGUUGUAUUAGCUAGUAGGUGAGGUAACGGCUCACCUAGGCGACGAUACAUAGCCGACCUGAGAGGGUGAUCGGCCACACUGGGACUGAGACACGGCCCAGACUCCUACGGGAGGCAGCAGUAGGGAAUCUUCGGCAAUGGGGGCAACCCUGACCGAGCAACGCCGCGUGAGUGAAGAAGGUUUUCGGAUCGUAAAGCUCUGUUGUAAGUCAAGAACGAGUGUGAGAGUGGAAAGUUCACACUGUGACGGUAGCUUACCAGAAAGGGACGGCUAACUACGUGCCAGCAGCCGCGGUAAUACGUAGGUCCCGAGCGUUGUCCGGAUUUAUUGGGCGUAAAGCGAGCGCAGGCGGUUUGAUAAGUCUGAAGUUAAAGGCUGUGGCUCAACCAUAGUUCGCUUUGGAAACUGUCAAACUUGAGUGCAGAAGGGGAGAGUGGAAUUCCAUGUGUAGCGGUGAAAUGCGUAGAU
rnacentral:rRNA from 1 species